rnacentral:lncRNA from 1 species
GGCUUCGCUCCUGGGGAGCCAGAAGCAUGGAAUCAGAUGCCAAGAGGAUUAGGCCACCAACUUUGGCGUGUGCUCUUCGGGCCUGCCGUCUAACAGAAUGAGGGUUCCAGCGGUGUUCGCAUCAUCAGACGUCUAGUGUUCUGCACAUAAAACAAGCUCUUGAGGUCAGGAGACAACAUGCAAUCUAGCAGGCAGGUAGCUCGUGAAGCGUCUCAUCUCCCAGCAUAACAAGUGCUUCUCCAUCCAUAUGUACAGAAUUCCACUCUCCAGGUGGGAACGUUGUGAUGGAAUACGCUCUGAGAGAUAGAGGAGGCGACUUCUGCCAGGAGUGAUCAGGAGGACUUCUUGGAGGAGGCAGCACUUGAGCUGGUCUUGAAAGAUGAUGAGAUUUUAAUGGGAAAAGAGAUGAUCGAGAAGAACCUUCUAGCAGGAGGGAGCUGCCCUAGCAAAGACAGGAAGGCUGGAAAAUGCGAGAAGUGGGACAGGAAGAUCAACACAGGACCUCUCCCUUCUGAGCCAAACUGACACCUACCUCUUGCCAUGACAGGCCGCUCUUCUGGAGAUUAUAAACUAUUUAUUUUUAACAGAGAAACUGCCUUAGUUGGAGUUCUGGCUCUGCCACUUACUUAGGUAAGAAAGAACUUCUUGGGCCUCAGGCCCUCACCUGUAAAAGGGGCUGAAUAAUAGGAUUGUGCCUCUCUCCAAUGGGCUGUUAGAGGUUGGACUGCAUGCCCCCAAUACUCUUAUGCUGAGGCCUAACCCGGUGUGACUGCACAUGGAGACAGGGUGUGUAGGGAGGGGAUGAAGCUUAAGUGAGGCCACAGGGGAGGCCCAACCCUGUAGAGUCGUGUCUUUAUAAGGAGUGAAAGAGACACCAUUGCUUGCUUCUCUCCUGUGGGCAGAGGAAAGGCCAGGUGAGGACACAGGCAGGAGGUGCCCCCGCAGCCUCAGGCAGAGCCCUCACCACGCCAGCCCUGCUGACGCCUUGAUCUUGGACUCCCAGGCGUCUGCUGCAUAAGCCACCCCGUCCGACGUACUUUCCCAUGGCAGCUUGAGCAGAAUGAGACUGGGGCUUUGGAAGAAGGAACUUCACAUGUGAGGAGCUUGGAGAGUGGGACGUGCCAUGUGUGCACAUGUGCUGCUGGUGGUUGGUGUUAUUGUUAUUAUCAGGAGUGGCGUAUUCCCAGCCUCUGGAAGCUCACCUCGUGGUUUUCUUUCUUCUUCCACUUUUCGUUUUUUAGAUCAUGUCUGCCCUUAGCCUGACAUCCCCGCCAUGUAGGGCUCCAGGACUGCUGUGGCCUCAGCCCUUCCGGGCUCCAGGAGGCCCUGAUUCAUUGCUCUCCCCUCCCCCCUUGGCUGGCCUAGGUGCCUUGUCCUCUUUCUUGGGACGGUGCUCACUGACGGGCCCCAUGGGAGGAGGGAGACACGGCCAGCUGCCAUGCGGGAACAGCUGCCACAGCAUCGCCUCCUCCAGACAUUGCUCACCACCCCUGGCUUUCCUGAGCUUCUCACCAGCCCUGGUGGAAGUGAGCAAACAUGAUUACUUAUUCUUGUCUUCCCCAUCAGGAGGCCAGGGUGGGGGAAAGGCAGUGUGCCACUGAGUUGUUGGUCCUCUAACUUAGUGCUGGUCGCCCGCAUGUGCUCUAGGGCCUCGGGGCACGGUGCUGGGACAGCUCAGCUGGCAGACCUAGGACAGGGCUGGAAGGUGGGGGGCAGGGCUGGGGUCAGAACUUUUCUCCCUUCUUCCCUCCGGACUCAGGGAGGUCCCUUGGGCAAAUUCCUUGUCCAGACAGAGAUGUGUGGGGCGAGAGACACUCAGUCUCCUUAGGAGCAGUGAGCAGCGGGGGGCCCAAGACAACAGCCCCCUGUGGCCGCCUCCAGCCCCAGGACAGUGGCCUGAGCCCUGGGUCACCAUGCUCACUCCACCCAGCGCAGAAUUCUCCAGCGCCCAGCCUUGCAGAGGCAACGCGGCUCCGACAGGACCUGUAACCUCUUCCUGCCGCUUCUUUGUCAUGCAACCAGCCCUUCCCUCCAAAUCUUUCAAAAUCCUCUUCCCCAGGGGUCACUGCCCUGAUCUUCGGAGCAGGCUGUGGACAUGGACUCACUCUGCUGAGCUCUUCCUCCUCUGUGUACCGAGGCCACAGCCCCCACUCCGAUCCCCCACGCAGCCUCUGCCUGCGCUUUUGUCCCUUGUCCUUACCUUUAUCAAGCUCAAGGGACCCCGUAACCGCACGCCCUCCUCAGGGCCUUUUCAUUGGAAUUCCCACACUCUCUGCAUUUCUGAAGGACUGGUUGAAACCGCAGCGUUCUUCUAAGUGGUGAGCUCCCCGAGUGAAUCAAAAUCACACUUGAUUCCCCCAAAAUCCCAUUUGUCAGGAGUGCGGCUGCUGCAGAAAGUGUCUCUGGAGCUUGGGAAGCAGGCGCGGGGCCACUCUAAACUCUCCUGUGCUCAUCACGCGCCCUUUCUGCAUCCUGCGGGCACGUUGGUCGGACCCUGUCGAUAUCAAACGGUGAUCACUGUUAAUGAAUGGCACUGUUCCCACACAGGACCUCUAAUUACUACUGCGUUCUUAUGAGGAGUGCCUUGUGCUUUGCAGCAUCUAACGUCUUGGUAGUGACCUGCCAGUGCCUGUCCAACCUGUCAGCAGAUCACGGUCGCGAACCCUGGGAGAGAGCUGACAACACGUUUCCCGUGUGAGACUCUGUGUCUCCCGAGAAGCAGACACCAAGACAGGAUGAGAGAUGCACAGAUUUUAUUGGGAAAAACACCUGCAGGAGAAAACGGUCAUCAGAGCCUGAACAAGUCCUCCCGCAAUGACCUACCAGGUGGUGCCAGGCCUGUAGCAGGUACCCUGGAUCGGAUCGGCUGCUCUGCUCCACGAGGCUCCCAGCACCAUCUCAGCAGGUCGGCGCUGCCUCAGGUCUGAAAUGAUGUCUUCUCUUUCCUGUUUUCUGAGCAGCUCAUUCUGCUGCCCGUCAAAUAGGCCCUUUCCCCAGGACCCUUGGGGUCCAGCUGAGUGGAGCAGCCUCCCACACUGGAAGCCUUGAGUUUUCCCCACCUGGGCCUUUCUCUCUGUCCCUGACAUCCGGUUGGUCACCAGAUCCUGGCAGUUGAAAGUCAUUCUCAAGUCCAGCCCCACCACUGCACCUCGGUCCAUGCUCCUGGACACCAGUCUCUCACCGAGCGCUAUGCGUGGCUUGCGUCUGCGGCUGAGAAAUCCUUUCAAACGCACGCCUUCCCUAUUAUAUCCAGCAUAGGAUCUGACCCGGCAGGACCUCAGUAAAGACUUGUGGCUGCUUUAAGAGUGGGCACCUGCCGUCACAUUUUCCUCAGCAUUUUCCCUAUGCUGCUGGCGCAUUGGGUAGCUCUACUCAACCCAUGACGGAUUGCAGAUCUUUUGGCCGCUGCAUUCACAAAUUUGUCCCGAGCCGCUCCAUGGAAGGCAUCCCAGAAGCCUAUCAAUCUUCCCAUGAGUGUUCAAGAUUCCCAAAUCCCCAAAAGGCCCUAAUACCAUCUCUGUGUGAGCAGCUGCCCAUGUGUUGGGGAGUGCCCUGCCUGAGGCAGAGGGCGCACUGCAUCUGUUUGGAGGUGGGUGAGCCUCACGUGUUCUGCACAGGGCAUGAGGUAGGCAUUGGAGAGCAGCCCUGGCCCCCCCACCCAGGGGACAGUAGGUGGGGUUCUAAAUUAUGAGUCAUUAAUCAGCUCUUCAUAUGUCUGAAUUAUUCAUAAAGUAAGUGCUUGUGGUUUGGAUGCUAGUCUAUGAAUAUAUAGGCAAAUUAUUUAUUAUGGCAUUUACAUGGAUUUUGCAAAAAAGUUUUCCAGAAACCCUUUAGGUUCAGUGGUUGAAUUUAACAAAUAUUUCCUGUGCACCUACUCUAUGACAGAAAUUGUGAUUGGCGUUAAAGACAUAAAGAUGAAUAGGAUAAUAAGCACCUGCCUUCAGUGUGCUCUGGGUUAGCAGGGAGAACACACAAUCCAGCUGGUCCACAGAGGCUGACUUAUUAACAACAUUUAUCACAGCAUGUGGGAAAUAUGAGCUAACUGUAUUUCAGAUAGUAACAUGACCACGCCAAAACCAAACCAAAUCAAAACAAGGCAAGAAACCAAACCAACAAACCAACCCCACCACCACAACAGAAACUAACCCAAGUAACAUUGAACACGGAACCUUGACCUAUAACCCUUGUCCUGCAGACAAAAUACCUGCAAACAAAUAUUGAACUUGACUUGUGGGUUUGCUUUCACUGUGGUGCAAGGUAGCAAUUCUGUAAUGAUUUUCUGUCUUGUAGGGUUGAGCAAAUACAAGAUUCCACCAGUGCUGUUGGAAGCCAGCGUUCUUGUUUUUGGAAAGGGGACAUUUUCUUUCUUUCUCUUAUUUUUUUCCCUCCCUCCCUCCCUCCCUCCCUCCCUCCCUCCCUUCCUUCCUUUCCGUCAAAGCACUUACAAUCUUCUCACAUACUAUACAAUUUACUUAUUUAUUGUGUUCCCCAUUUGGUGUCUGUCUUCCCCCCGGGGGCAGGGCUCUUUGCUGCUUCAUCCAAUAUGUGUUCACGAUCUGAGUGCCUGCAAUAGUAGGCAUGUGCUUAUCUAGUGAAUGAUGGGCAAUGGUGGUGGAGAUGCAGAUUAGGACCAGGUCAUGGGGAGUACUGGAUUACGAAAGUGAACACAUUUGGAUUUCAGCCUGUUGGAAAAUGAGAUGAUGCUGGAAGUGGUGAAGGGGCUGCAACAUGAUGAGAG